rnacentral:tRNA from 1 species
GUCGAGGUAGCUCAGUUGGCUAGAGCGUUCGGUUCAUACCCGGAAAGUCGGGGGUUCGAAUCCCUCCCUCGAUACCA